AAUCUGCACAGACAAGCAGUUGCUAGAACGGGGCUAAGGGGCUCUGCGCUUCUCUACUGGGGACCAAGAAGCUCAUCACCUCGGCAGAUCACGGUGGCAGGCCUUGCCCUAGACACUUGGCCAUGCCCGAAGGCCACAGCCAGCCUGGAAUAUGGGCUCUGGAAAAAGCAGAAUGCAAGGCAGAGUCCCUGGCAGGAGUCACGUCUGCCCUGCCUGGUUUGCUCAGUGCUAUGGAAGAGUUAUCAGGAGAAUGCGUCAGGCCCAACACAGGGAUGGAACACCAAGUCGCCCCAUCGGAUACCAGACAGCUGAGUGUCAAUAGACAACUGGCCCCUCUGGGGCACAGGGGAUGUAACUGUCGUGGGAAACAGGUGCUGAGGACCUGGGUAGAGGACUAUCUUUUCAUCCUUGAGAUGGGCACCAACUCUGUCCCCUAGCUGGGUUCAGGUGCCACCUUGGAGAGUCGGAACAUCUGAGGAGCCUUGGCAGAAGAUGGGGAGCUGGCACCACACCCCACCAGACUGCCUGUCAUGAGCUAUUCCUGGAAUUCUCCUGUCACGUGGCGCAGGAACCUAGGGCCACUUGCUUGAGAGCUGUGUCCAAGCCACGGUUCUCAGAGGCAAGUCCUGCAGCGCCUCAGAGCAGCUUCCAUUAGCCCUAAGCAAGGAGAAGCAGGGUGGAGAUGGGAAUCUGGCUUUGCCACACUAUGGCUGUGUCUCCUUGGACACGUUUUUCUAAUGUCUCUGAGCAUGCUUCCCGAACAGGGAUACUGCAGGAAUGAACACUGGCUGAUUUGUGGGCAAUGUUACUUGUACCACAUGAUGGAAUUUCCAGUCAGGGGACAGUUGCUUAAACACAGGCCUUCUCUGACCCCACUUUACCCUCCCAGGGAUUUGGUUCACAAGUCUGACCUUUACCAUAUACAGAGAGCACAUACCCCACCCUCCCACCCCUGUCAGCUCCAAUAACUGUCAUUAAACAGCUGGGUGCCUGGAAGGUCAGCCACCAGCAGGCCUUGGUCUCUGUUCCCAGCACGGUGGUGUGGCUAGAGCGGGAGGUGGCUCUGAGGCUGACUGACACCGAGACAGCAUCUGGGUGUGGGAGGCACCCUGGAGGCUGGUGACUGACUGCCAGGCUAUGCUGAGUCCACUGGGCAGCUGACUUCUCCCACAGGCUCUGUUUCCUAAGAGCAUUCAACGGGGUGCUGGCCUGUGUUGAGGGUGAGGUUCUUGUAGGCACUGGGAUGAAGGUCUCUCCAGGCUUCUGCUGUAUCAUCAUCCUUUAUGGUGCCAGAGCCCACAUGGGAGCUGCAGAGCCCCUGAGGACAACAGCAGCUGCCUCUAAGUUGACUGCCUCAGGCCAGAGCUAGCAAGCUGCGUUCCCACAGGCACGUCUUAGCACGUCUGUGUUCACACUGAGAAGACAGAGAGGCAGCUCAUGCCAAUCUGUUCUUUCCAUGGUUCCUGUAUAUCCUUCCCGAUCACACCUUGGGCAGGGACCCCUGGGGUCAAGCUCUCUGAAGGCCUUGAGUGUAUAUAGCUCCUCUCCCAUGCGUAUAGCCUCUCUCUUGGGAGUCCAGUCAGGCACUAAGGGCUCUUGGCACUCCAGGAUGUCACUCAUGACGCUAGGGUCCUCUUACCACAGUAGGGGCAAUAGAUGUGGCCCUAAGAAUGCAGUUGUACUCAGAGAGCUGAUCCUGCCUCAAUCUCCAUCACCUGCCCCUCCCCCCCCAUCAAUUUGCAGAGCAGAAAGCAAGAGAACGUUAUGAAGGCCUUCUGAGCAUGUGUUACCACCGUGCUACAGGCAAGUUGGUGACAUGAGCAACAGAGGCCUAGGAAGCACCCUGCCUGCCCAGAUGCCAGUCUGUUCCACUUGAGGACCAGCUGGGUACCACCCUGCCCCCUCUUUCCAGCCUUCCACUCAUUACGCUUUUCCUGAGUGUUGGCAGAGGCCCAACCAUUUAUUUUUAGUUGUUGACGGGCUGGUCCCUUCCUGGUCCCGUGCUGCAGUUUGAGCCCUGUGGUGGCAGAAAGACUCAGCUCACCAAACACCCUAUCCCUUUAUCCAGUAUUCAGCAAUGCACCCCACACAACUAUGUGGGCUCCUCAAGGUGUGUUUAAACAGAGACAGCCCCAUCAUACUUCUUCAAAGUUCCUUUGAGGAGCUCAGGGCCCUCUAAAGCCACGUCCUGCUAAACCUUCACAGGCAGCGACCGCAAAGCUAGGAGCAUAGCGCUCAUGGCCAGGGCCCAACCUGUGGCUUCAGUUGUUAAGGACCUGAAGAGCAUUCUCGUCCCUGAGGAUGAGAAGGGGAGAGGCCUCCUGGUGGAUCCACUCUGCAGAGGCAGCUGCACACAGAAGACAGCUCCCCCACACAUACAGGAAGUAGGGACAGAGAGCCAGGCCCUUGCCUGGUAACAGGAGCAGUGGGACUUUUUCCCAGCUCUGGCCUCGGAAGCUGCCCCUCUCACCUCCCCAGCCUCCCUCCGCCUCCUCAGUAGUGCAAGAAGAUCACAUUCUGUCCCACUGCUUGGUGGCUGAGGGCAGACACAUGCUCCACCUUCUGUGACUGCCUGUAGGAACACAUUCAGGAUUUAGACAGAAGCAGGACACAGUCCAGGUCCUUGUUACCUAACGAGGAUGCAGGGGACUUAAAUUUAGACUGUGCCUGUGCAUGGUGGGGAGCCAGCUCUGCGGAACUGCAGUGGCACACGUGCGGACAUACUCAGUGGAUCUGCUGAGCCAGCUCAACAGCCAGGGGAGAGCGGAGUGCUCCAGGAGUGGGCCCCACAGGGGACAGUGCCUCCAGAUAUAUGUCUUUCCUGUUUUUAAUUCUAUUUCAAAAUAGGGUUUCACUCUGUAGACUAAAGCAGGGUAGCUCUGAGCUCAAGAUCCUCUUGUUUUGGCCUCCUGUCUGAUGGGGCAGGCACUCCUCUGGAGAUCUGAGGGGGUGGCCUGAGUGACUCCAUUUUGCCCAAGUGUUAGCUAAUUCCAUCUUACAUUUUGCCCAGCUGCUCCCUAGUCCCUGCUAAGCACACAUCCUGCUAAACAGGUCGUUCUCAUACAUCUGCACUUGAAGGUUCUGGAAGAUCCACUGCAUAAAAUAAAUUAUUUUAGUCAACU
rnacentral:lncRNA from 1 species